rnacentral:rRNA from 1 species
GAUGAACGCUGGCGGCGUGCUUAACACAUGCAAGUCGAACGGAGUGGCGAACGGGUGAGUAACACGUGGGUGACCUGCCCUGCACUUCGGGAUAAGCCCGGGAAAAUGGGUCAAAUACCGGAUAGUGUGGGAUGGGCCCGCUGCCUAUCAGCUUGUUGGUGGGGUAAUGGCCUACCACGGCGGCGACGGGUAGCCGGCCUGAGAGGGUGGACGGCCACAUUGGUACUACGGCACGGCCCAGACUCCUACGGGGGGCAGCAGUUGGGAAUAUUGCACAAUGGGCGGAAGCCUGAGGCAGCGACGCCGCGUGGGGGAUGACGGCCUUCGGGUUGUAAACUCCGUUCACCAUCGACGCGGUAGAUGGAGAAGAAGCACCGGCUAACUACGUGCCAGCAGCCGCGGUAAUUC